rnacentral:rRNA from 1 species
UCCAGACUCCUACGGGAGGCAGCAGUAGGGAAUUUUGCGCAAUGGGCGAAAGCCUGACGCAGCAACGCCGCGUGAUCGAGACGCCCUUCGGGGUGUAAAGAUCUGUCAGUGGGGACGAAACUUGACGGUACCUGACUAAGAAGCACCGGCUAAAUACGUGCCAGCAGCCGCGGUAAUACGUAUGGUGCAAGCGUUAUCCGGAUUUACUGGGUGUAAAGGGAGCGCAGGCGGCGCGUUAAGCCUGGUGUGAAAGCCCGCGGCCCAACCGCGGGACUGCAUUGGGAACUGGCGCGCUGGAGUGCCGGAGGGGGAGGCGGAAUUCCUAGUGUAGCGGUGAAAUGCGUAGAUAUUAGGAGGAACACCAGUGGCGAAGGCGGCCUACUGGACGGUGACUGACGCUGAGGCUCGAAAGCGUGGGGAGCAAACAGGAUUAGAUACCCCGGUAUAC